AGCAGAAGGGUCCUUGAGUUCCAGUUAAUAGAAAAGAAUAUGGAUGUUCGAUCUAGAAGAGCCAGAGAAAGAGAAACCAGUCCCGACAGGGCCAAAGUGUGCACGCAGGCGCAGGUGCAGCCAAGGGUCAAACCUAUCAAAAAGGUUCAAGUUGUUUACUAUCUCUCUAGAAAUGGGCAGCUUGAACAUCCUCAUUACAUGGAAGUUACCCAUUUGGCCAAUCAACAUCUUCGUUUGAGAGAUGUUAUGGAUCGGCUCACGGCCCUUAGAGGCAAAGGCAUGCCUUCUCUAUACUCAUGGUCUUGCAAAAGGAGCUACAAGAAUGGCUAUGUGUGGAAUGACUUAGCAGAGAAUGAUAUCAUCCAUCCAUCAGAUGGAGCUGAGUAUGUACUCAAAGGGUCUGAGCUGGUUGAAG
rnacentral:misc_RNA from 1 species